UGUGGGAGCGGGCUUGCUCGCGAAGACGGAGUGUCAGUUAACAGAUAUGUCGACUGAUACACCGCAUUCGCGAGCAAGCCCGCUCCCACA
rnacentral:misc_RNA from 1 species